GGGGAUGACUUGGCUUCGACAGUGUGAUUCUGGUUGUCGAUCGCCCCUGUUCGGGAUGGCAAUGGCUCCCGUCACCCGCUGUUGCACACCACAUCUGCCAAAGACAGUGUGAUCGGCAAGGCUCUCGAGAAGAUGUCCGUUUUCCGGGCACCGGCUCUGGCCUACGCCUAAUCGUCCGCCCACUGCGCGGACACGCUGCCCCGUCGACUCCGCUACUCGGAUGCAGCGUAGAUAGCGGAUGCGGGCGAAACUGACGCGACUCGCCCAAACUUUAGCGUCGAACUUCCUGUGCCUUUCUUUGUCCGUUUCUUACGGCACCGGAAUAUUGAAUCGGACAUGACAGUACAGGCACGGCUGCCACACAUUGGACCCGGGUUCGAUUCCCGGCAUCUCCACCA
rnacentral:tmRNA from 1 species